rnacentral:piRNA from 1 species
CCCUGUCUUGAAAAAAAAAAAACAAAA